rnacentral:pre_miRNA from 1 species
CAAAUACUCCCUCCGUCCGGAAAUACUUGUCAUCAAAAUGGAUAAAAGGAAAUGUAUCUAGACGUGUUUUAGUUUUAGAUACAUCUCUUUUUAUCCAUUUUGAUGACAAGUAUUUUCGGACGGAGGGAGUAGAAA